rnacentral:lncRNA from 1 species
GAGAGAGAGAGAGAGACAGAGACAGAGAGAAAUAGAAACCUGCCUGCUUCUCAUUUGGUAGCAAUAGCAGGGAAUACAAAGAGAUACAGCAAAUCUGCAAUAAAAGCAAUGACAUUUUUUUCUUAUUCCUACAUUUUGUAUUUCAAUAUUUGAUAUACUGAAAGGGGUUCUUAAUGAUGAUCUCUCGAUUUAAGGAAACAUAGGUAAACUAGAAUUAAUUCUACAGGAAAGGAAAAGACUUGAAAAGAAGUGGGGAGAACAUAUUUUGUGUCCUGUCUGGAACACUAAAACAUAAAAGGCUUUUUUCACAGGCAGAGACAGCAAAGACGGAUGUCCUAAAUUAGUGCAGCUGUCCAAGGAAAAUCCAGAAUUACUCAAUGCAAGAAUUACUGGAUAUCUGUUUUUCUAAGAAAAGGAAAAAGAGCUGCAAGAGUUCAGUUGGUGGAUGUCUUUGACUUGUUCAGGAAAACAAUGAAGAAACUAAGAAGAUUGCAAAAGAAGGCAAUUAGUUGCUAGAGAGCUGCUCCAGCCCCGCAGACUCUACUGCUACUAUUACUGAGUACUUCAGGUAAAUACAGAAUGGACACUUGGUGAGGCAGCCGUUGGUAAUAGAAAGAGCACUGAUAUUUGGCAGCCCAG